UAUAUUUGAUUGUUGUUGUGUUAUAGUGGAAAAUGUGUCUAAAUCAAAACAAUUCAUCCUCUGGGAACCAUGAGUAUAAACAAUAACUGUAUAAAGUUGUUAACACUUUGACAGAGUCACUGACACUUUGGUUUAUUCAUCAGAACAGAAAACACAACAAACUCUUUAUUCAUUUUUUAAAAUGUGGACGGACUCGUGUGAUUCUUCAGCUCGACGUUCCCUCAGAUGAGAGACGUGGAAGAUGAAGAUCUGCUGCCCAAGUUUCCACCUGACGCAGAUAUGGUCGGGCCUUGUUAUUGAGGAUCAGAAACUCGUCGACACGGUUUCUACUCGCAGCUCUGUGGAGAGGAAACAGCUGGAGAGAGAUGAACACUCAGGACAGAUGUUUUCAUUUCUUCUCCAUUGUACAGAUGUAGAUUAAUACAAAAUACUCGAUUCACUUUGAAUAGUCAAAUUAACCCUGAGUUACACUCUGGAUGAAAACACAAGUUCAUUUAAGGGUGUGAUAUUUUUCAUUAGAUCCAAUGAACUGUAACUAAAAACUGACGUAGACUCAGAGUCCAAGAAUUGAGAAGCUCCAAUAAACUGUUUACUCAUGAACAACCAGCAGGGGGCGACUCCACUGGUUGAUUCUACAGGAAAAUGUUUUAUAACGUCAGUAAACAUCUUCUUGGGGAGUUCAUGUCUCAGUCUCUAGUUUCAGGUCUUCUUCAGUGCAGCUGAAGUUCAUUUAGUAAGUUAUGAUCCAAUGUGGAUCCAAUGUGAUUGACAGCUGGUACCGUCCAAUGGGUGAGUCCCCCAGGAUAUGGUUAAACCAAGAUGGCGCUGGAAAGAAGACGUCUUCCACCUCUGGAGACAUUUUGGUUUUCUCUUGCUUGAUGUCCAUCUCAUGCUGAAGCUGCUUCCAUCAACGACAACCAGCACCACCAGCAGCACCACCAGCACCACCAGCAAAUACCUGCCCAGAACCGAG